rnacentral:rRNA from 1 species
UCGUCAUCGUAGGGUUAGUCGGGACCUAAGUCGAGUCCGAAAGGGGUAGACGAUGGAAAAUAGGUUAAUAUUCCUAUACCGACGGUUGUUUGUUUGAAUGAUGGGGGGACGCAUAGAGUUAAUCGAGCUCACUGAUGGAAUAGUGGGUCGAAGGACGUAGGUCGUGAAGUAGGCAAAUCCGCUUCACACGAGACCGAGAUCUUACAGGCUCUUCAAUAGCUUCGGCUAGCGAGGAGAAUCGAUGAUACUGUCGUGCCGAGAAAAGCCUCUAAAUGAGAACAACCGUUGCCCGUACCGCAAACCGACACAGGUGGGUGAGAUGAGUAUUCUAAGGCGCGUGGAUGAACCCUGGUUAAGGAACUCUGCAAACUAGCACCGUAUCUUCGGUAUAAGGUGUGCCCUAUUUGUAAGAAGAUUUACUCUUCGAAGCAUUGAUGGGUCGCGGCAAAGUGUCCCUCCCGACUGUUUAC